CCUACGGGUGGCUGCAGUGGGGAAUAUUGCACAAUGGGGGAAACCCUGAUGCAGCGACGCCGCGUGAGUGAAGAAGUAUUUCGGUAUGUAAAGCUCUAUCAGCAGGGAAGAUAAUGACGGUACCUGACUAAGAAGCCCCGGCUAACUACGUGCCAGCAGCCGCGGUAAUACGUAGGGGGCAAGCGUUAUCCGGAUUUACUGGGUGUAAAGGGAGCGUAGACGGCAGAGCAAGUCUGAAGUGAAAGCCCGCGGCCCAACUGCGGGACUGCUUUGGAAACUGCCCGGCUAGAGUGCUGGAGAGGUAAGCGGAAUUCCUAGUGUAGCGGUGAAAUGCGUAGAUAUUAGGAGGAACACCAGUGGCGAAGGCGGCUUACUGCAGCGGAACUGACGCUGAUGCUCGAAAGCGCGGGUAUCGAACAGGAUUAGAUACCCCAGUAGUC
rnacentral:rRNA from 1 species